rnacentral:rRNA from 1 species
GUAGGGAAUAUUGGGCAAUGGUCGGAAGACUGACCCAGCCAUGCCGCGUGCAGGAAGACGGCCCUCUGGGUUGUAAACUGCUUUUAUCUGGGAAGAAAAAGGCCAUGCGUGGCAAAUUGCCGGUACCAGAUGAAUAAGCACCGGCUAACUCCGUGCCAGCAGCCGCGGUAAUACGGAGGGUGCGAGCGUUGUCCGGAUUUAUUGGGUUUAAAGGGUGCGUAGGCGGCUGAUUAAGUCAGCGGUGAAAGACUUCGGCUUAACCGGAGCAGUGCCGUUGAUACUGGUUGGCUUGAGUGUCGGAGGGGUACAUGGAAUUGAUGGUGUAGCGGUGAAAUGCAUAGAUACCAUCAGGAACACCGAUAGCGAAGGCAUUGUACUGGCCGACAACUGACGCUGAUGCACGAAAGUGUGGGGAUCGAACAGGAUUAGAAACCCCAGUAGUCC